rnacentral:lncRNA from 1 species
GUGAAGGUUAUCCUGAAAAAAAUUGCUAGAAGUUAUUAAAUUAACAACAACAACAACAACAACAACAACAACAACCAGAGCUGGCAUCUUUGAAAUGUCUAGAAUUUGUCAGGAUCACUAUGUGAGAAAAUUGAAAUAAAACAAAAGGCAACCAAG